CCGGCGCACGGGUGAGUAACACGUAUCCAACCUGCCGUCUACUCUUGGCCAGCCUUCUGAAAGGAAGAUUAAUCCAGGAUGGCAUCAUGAGUUCACAUGUCCGCAUGAUUAAAGGUAUUUUCCGGUAGACGAUGGGGAUGCGUUCCAUUAGAUAGUAGGCGGGGUAACGGCCCACCUAGUCAACGAUGGAUAGGGGUUCUGAGAGGAAGGUCCCCCACAUUGGAACUGAGACACGGUCCAA
rnacentral:rRNA from 1 species